GGGUUUGACAUGUACGUGGUACGGAUCGUGAAAGGUGAAGGACUUACUCUUCGGAGUGAGAGCGUACACAGGUGCUGCAUGGCUGUCGUCAGCUCGUGUCGUGAGACGUUGGGUUAAGUCCCGCAACGAGCGCAACCCCUAUUGCCAGUUGCUAACAGGAGAGCUGAGCACUCUGGCGAGACUGCCGCCGACAAGGCGGAGGAAGGUGGGGAUGACGUCAAGUCAUCAUGGCCUUUAUGCCCAGGGCUACACACGUGCUACAAUGGCCGGCACAGACGGCAGCUUAGUGGCGACACUUGGCAAAUCCUCUAAAGCCGGUCCCAGUUCGGAUUGCAGUCUGCAACUCGACUGCAUGAAGCCGGAAUCGCUAGUAAUCGCAGAUCAGCCAAGCUGCGGUGAAUACGUUCCCGGGCCUU
rnacentral:rRNA from 1 species